rnacentral:misc_RNA from 1 species
GAUGAAGAACGUAGCGAAAUGCGAUAAGUAAUGCGAAUUGCAGAAUUCAGUGAAUCAUCGAAUCUUUAAACGCACAUUGCGCCCGCUAGUAUUCUGGCGGGCAUGCCUGUCUGAGCGUCAUUUCAACCCUCGCCCCCGGCUUUUGCUGGGAGCGGUGUUGGGGAUCGGCCGCCCGUCACUGGGAGGCCGGCCCCGAAAUAGAGUGGCGACCACGCCGUGUGCUCCUCUGCGUAGUAGUAAAUCACCUCGCAGGCGGACAGCGGUGCGGCCUGCCGUAAAACCCCCAACUCUUUCUGGUUGACCUCAGAUCAGGUAGGAAUACCCGCUGAACUUAAGCAUAUCAAUAAGCGGAGGA